GGUUCUCUCCGAAAUAGCUUUAGGGCUAGCCUCAAGUGAUGAUUAUUGGAGGUAGAGCACUGUUUGGACGAGGGGCCCCUCUCGGGUUACCGAAUUCAGACAAACUCCGAAUGCCAAUUAAUUUAACUUGGGAGUCAGAACAUGGGUGAUAAGGUCCGUGUUCGAAAGGGAAACAGCCCAGACCACCAGCCAAGGUCCCAAAAUAUAUGUUAAGUGGAAAAGGAUGUGGCGUUGCCCAGACAACUAGGAUGUUGGCUUAGAAGCAGCCAUCAUUUAAAGAGUGCGUAAUAGCUCACUAGUCGAGUGACACUGCGCCGAAAAUGUACCGGGGCUAAACAUAUUACCGAAGCUGUGGAUUGUCCUUUGGACAAUGGUAGGAGAGCGUUCUAAGGGCGUUGAAGCAUGAUCGCAAGGACAUGUGGAGCGCUUAGAAGUGAGAAUGCCGGUGUGAGUAGCGAAAGACGGGUGAGAAUCCCGUCCACCGAUUGACUAAGGUUUCCAGAGGAAGGCUCGUCCGCUCUGGGUUAGUCGGGUCCUAAGCUGAGGCCGACAGGCGUAGGCGAUGAAUAACAGGUUGAUAUUCCUGUACCACCUAUAAUCGUUUUAAUCGAUGGGGGGACGCAGUAGGAUAGGCGAAGCGUACGAUUGGAUUGUACGUCUAAGCAGUGAGGUUGAGUGUUAGGCAAAUCCGGCACUCUUAAGAUUGAGCUGUGAUGGGGAGAGGAAAUUGUUUCCUCGAGUCGUUGAUUUCACACUGCCGAGAAAAGCCUCUAGAUAGAGAUUAGGUGCCCGUACCGC
rnacentral:rRNA from 1 species